CGGCGGACGGGUGAGUAACACGUGGGCAACCUGCCCUGCAGAUCGGGAUAACUCCGGGAAACCGGUGCUAAUACCGAAUAGUUUGGAGCCUCUCCUGAGGUUCCACGGAAAGGCGGCUUCGGCUGCCACUGCAGGAUGGGCCCGCGGCGCAUUAGCUAGUUGGUGGGGUAAUGGCCCACCAAGGCGACGAUGCGUAGCCGACCUGAGAGGGUGAUCGGCCACACUGGGACUGAGACACGGCCCAGACUCCUACGGGAGGCAGCAGUAGGGAAUCUUCCGCAAUGGACGCAAGUCUGACGGAGCAAUGCCGCGUGAGUGACGAAGGUUUUCGGAUCGUAAAACUCUGUUGUAAGGGAAGAACAAGCCCCAUUUAACUGAUGGGGCCCUGACGGUACCUUACCAGAAAGCCACGGCUAACUACGUGCCAGCAGCCGCGGUAAUACGUAGGUGGCAAGCGUUGUCCGGAAUUAUUGGGCGUAAAGCGCGCGCAGGCGGUCCCUUAAGUCUGAUGUGAAAGCCCACGGCUCAACCGUG
rnacentral:rRNA from 1 species